AAAACGACUCUCGGCAACGGAUAUCUAGGCUCUCGCAUCGAUGAAGAACGUAGCAAACUGCGAUACUUGGUGUGAAUUGCAGAAUCCCGUGAACCAUCGAGUCUUUGAACGCAAGUUGCGCUUGAAGCCAUUAGGCUGAGGGCACGUCUGCCUGGGCGUCACGU
rnacentral:rRNA from 1 species